ensembl:lincRNA Gm15721 predicted gene 15721
AGAGAAAGGAGAAGCAGCCUGAGGUCGCUGACCUAGAGUCCUGACUCCCACGAGUGGGAUGUGCUGUGGUCCAAUCGGAAGAGAGAGCCUCUUUUAAUUGCGUGCAGCAGGAAGAAUUGGGGUCCAGCGGGUGAACUCGGAAGGGAUGUAGCGGGGCUGAUGGACAGGAGACUAAAGAAGUCUCUGGGUAAUGCAUAGCCGGCUACCCACUUGAAAGACUCUUGUCUCAACGCAAGCUUGUCUGCUUCGUAGUUCACAACGUUCCUCAGAAGUAAACAUGAACGCAGGACUUCUCAGUAGCCCUUCCAGGUCGCCUGAAAGCAGCGCACCUGGGAAGCCUGAAGACAGCCGGGGGGCUUCUCCAGCCUCUGGCUCACAAGAUUUGGGACAGACUGACAGAGAAGACGAUGAGAUGCUGGCUUACUGAUGUGCUUGCUCGCUUUCUCUUGGGGGUCGGGAGUGUGGGGAAAAUGGGCUCCCUCCCCCACCCCAGCAUUGCUGUGCCGAGCAACAUUUUAUACCAGCUGAAUUUUUGUACUAACUGGUCUAUAUUGUGAAGGGAAAUCAUGAAAGAGCACUUUUCACACGGCUGUCUUUUUACAUUAUUCUAUGUGGCCUCCCAUUUCUUCUGGAGGAAUCUAGGGCACGUUUUAUCGCUUUUCCUGUCACCUUCGGGUGUUAACAAGCGGUCUGACUGGCUGUUAUUACAAAGUCCAGUCCAAUCUAAAUCAAACUUUAAGCUCAUUUCAUUUAAGUCUUCGCCCCUCCCUUCCCCUAACUCACAAACCCCAGCCUGACUUAAACCUAGAAAGAUAGUAAAGCCUCCUUUGUGCCAUUCACUUUCCUAUUUGGGUGCUCUGUGAAGCCCAUGCCUCCCAGGUGCAAGGAAUGAGGUCCUGACGCUACAGCUCCUUCCUCAGGCCACUCCCACUCCUCCAGGGACUCAUCCCACCCCCACCCCCAUCCCACAGGCAGACCUGACCAUCUUCCACCACAUCGGCUCACAGUAUUCAUUAAACUCUCUACAGAAGCUCUGGUUAGCUUCUUCCUUGAGCCUCACACUCCAGAUGACAGGCACCAGCUUCUUCAACACAUUUCUUCUCAGGCACACAGUGAGUGAGCCCUUCCUCCUCGCCCUGCUGGUACCCUGCCAAUCUCACUGCUGAGCCAACAGAAUGCCUUCCUAGCAAGGACCACCGAAAAGACCAAUACCUCUAGGCCAUUGUGUACCUGCCUGUCUCCACGGCAGCACAAGGCAAAGCACUAAGAUCAUGGGAGUAGAAACAACUAAGGCAUACAACUGUGACUCCUUGGGCUCUGCCAGGAAAACAAAGAGGAUGCCAGCAUCUUGCUGGCUUUCUCUACCUUACUUCUUUGAUUGUGUCAGGGUCCCUGGCCCCAUAGCACCGUGCUACUCAUACACUCAAGGGAAGUCCUCCCUCUCAGAGAACCCUCUCUGGAGAUGUCCUCACAGACACUUUCAAGGUCACCAGUCUCCUAGGUGAUUCUAAAUUGUCAAGUUGACAAUGAAGAUUAAUGGUUACAAAUGGUGUGGCCCUGUUGGAAGAAGUGUGUCACUGUGGAGAUUUUGAGGAAGCUAUGCCCAGUGUAGAACACAGUCUCCUUCUGCUGCCUGUGGAUCAAGAAAUAGAACUCUCAGCUCCUCCUCUAGCACCAUGUCUGCGUACAUGCCACCAUGUUUCCCACCAUGAUGAUAAAGGAUUAAAUCUCUGAAACUGUACACCAGCCCCAAUGAAAUGUUUUCCUUUAUAAGAGUUGCCAUGGUCAUGGUGUCUCUUCGCAACAAUGAAACCCUAAGACACCCCCAUCGGUUCAUAUUUAAAUGCUUGUCUCCCUGUUGGUAGAGUGUUUGAAAGGGUUAGGAGGUAUGGCCCUGUCAAAGGGGAUGUGUUACUGAGGUGGGCUUUGAUGCGCUAUCUGUUGUCUAUGGAUCAGGAUGUAGAACUCUCAGCUGCUUCACCAGCACCGUGUCUGCCUACAUGCUGCCACACAGUCCACCAUGAUGAUAAUGGACUAAUCCUUUGACAUUGUAAUCAAGCUUGCCUUGGUCGUGUCUCCUCACAGCAAAUGAACAGUGACUAAGACAGACGGGAAAAGAAAAUAUGCACUAUCCAGACCCCCACUGAAGGCACAGGCUUACCCUCAGAUGAUGUCAUGAGGAUACCUAAGAAUCUCAUAGAGGCCUCUCAAGAUGAUUAUUUCAAAGUUACCAGGCUGAGCAUUGACUUUGCUUCAGGGUCCUAUUCUCUAUUGAUAGGGAUUGUCUUUGGGCCUUGAAGUCCCCAUAUCUUCCAGGGCUUUAGAAAAACAGGCAGCAUCGAAGAACAUCAAGAAUUCCAGAUCAUGUGUUCCGAGGUCUUUCUAGGCUUCUCAUCCUGACCCAGGCAGGUCUGUAGUGGAGACAUUCUUGUUUGACGACAGAGCAGCACAUGCCUGAACCAUCCCCCAAAUUCCUGGGACAGUGUUUCCAACAAGGACUCUGGUCUCAGUCCCUCUGCCACCAGCAACCGGCUACCUGCAAGUAGGCAACCUCCUAGCCAACGAAAGCAGAGCCUGGCACACCGCUGCCUCGGGACACACUUCCGAGCUCCGACAGCGUAGCUUGGUGCUUCUCCUCCCAGGGUUCAUUGCACAAGAUCGUUAAACACUUUCUGUCCAUACAUACCUCCUCCCUCCACAGAUGGGUACUGGAUACAGCUCUUUAGCCCCGCCUGGGAUUUAUCCUUGGUGAAAGGAUAAGAUGCCUUGCCCACAAGACCCAGCACAGAGCACUUUGACCAGGUUCUGCCUCCGCGAUACACGUUUCCCCUGCAGGUCAGCUUCUCUUUAUAUCUGAGACGGCUCUGCCUUUGUUUCUGGUGAAAAACCAUGCAAAACCUCAUAAAACCCUCAUCCUAGACAUAAGGCAAAUCCCCCUAGGCAAUUAUGCUUGCCACAGCUGAAGCACCCGG